AUUGAACGCUGGCGGCAGGCCUAACACAUGCAAGUCGUACGAGUGGCGGACGGGUGAGUAAUGUCUGGGAAACUGCCUGAUGGAGGGGGAUAACUACUGGAAACGGUAGCUAAUACCGCAUCCCAUCAGAUGUGCCCAGAUGGGAUUAGCUUGUUUGUGGGGUAACGGGUCACCAAGGCGCCGAUCCCUAGCUGGGCUGAGAGGAUGACCAGACACACUGGGUCUGAGGCACGGUCCUGACUCCUACGGGAGGCAGCAGUGGGGAAUAUUGCACAAUGGGCGCAAGCCUGAGGCAGCCAUGCCGCGUGUAUGAAGAAGGCCUUCGGGUUGUAAAGUACUUUCAGCGGGGAGGCGUUACCCGCAGAAGAAGCACCGGCUAACGCCGUGCCAGCAGCCGCGGUAAUAC
rnacentral:rRNA from 1 species